UGUCCUCUACAUUUCUUGGUUAUUCAGG
rnacentral:piRNA from 1 species